UACGGGGGGAGCAAGCGUUGUUCGGAUUUACUGGGCGUAAAGGGCGCGUAGGCGGUCAGCACAAGUCAGUUGUGAAAUCUCCGAGCUUAACUCGGAAAGGUCAACUGAUACUGUGCGACUAGAGUGCAGAAGGGGCAACUGGAAUUCUCGGUGUAGCGGUGAAAUGCGUAGAUAUCGAGAGGAACACCUGCGGCGAAGGCGGGUCGCUGGGCUGACACUGACGCUGAGGCGCGAAAGCUAGGGGAGCGAACGGG
rnacentral:rRNA from 1 species